rnacentral:lncRNA from 1 species
AUGUUUCCAAUUGAAGCUGUAAUAGAUCCUUAUUCCAAGUCUCUAACCAGGUACAGAGGUUGCUACAUUAAGGGUAAGNNUAGAUGUCUGAUUGAAUCUUUCUCCCGCACAUGCCUGACAAGGGUGUCUAUUGUCACUUCAGGCAGAGUGGAUAGUGAGAGAGAGAGACAGAGAGAAAGGUCUUCGUUUUGCCGUUGGUUCAACACUGAAACUGUUUUAUUGUUAUGACCCUCCCAAUCAUUCUGAAAUUUUCAAGGUAUGUAUGGAUGUAAGUAAAUUUCAAAGCUUAUGCAUUCUCUUGGUAAUUCUAUACAUCUUGUUUCAGGUAUUUUAA